UACGAGGGGGGCAAGCGUUGUUCGGAAUUAUUGGGCGUAAAGGGCGCGCAGGCGGUCGUUCAAGUCGAGUGUGAAAGCCCCCGGCUCAACUGGGGAGGGUCACUCGAUACUGAUCGACUCGAAGGCAGGAGAGGGAAGUGGAAUUCCCGGUGUAGUGGUGAAAUGCGUAGAUAUCGGGAGGAACACCAGUGGCGAAGGCGACUUCCUGGCCUGUUCUUGACGCUGAGGCGCGAAAGCUAGGGGAGCAAACGGG
rnacentral:rRNA from 1 species